rnacentral:tRNA from 1 species
GGAGAAAUACCCAAGCGGUUCAAGGGAACGGUCUUGAAAACCGUCAGGGGGAGCAAUCCCCGCUAGAGUUCGAAUCUCUAUUUCUCCG